ACAUCACAACCAUCUAAUGCUGGGUUUUUUUCCUUCAAAGGAUCAAUAAUGCUCACAUUUAUUAACAAUCCUGUAAACUGGCAAUGCAAAUUAAGUCAAUAUAUUUGAGCACAGAAAUAAAGAACACUAACUGAACAGAGGCUUCAUUUUUCAGUUAUAAUAUUCCAAAGAGUCUAUUCAAGUUAUCUGUCAAGACUGCAAUCGGGUUUUGUUUUGUUUUUGGGGGUGCAGGGGAGAGAGGGGAGAACAAGAAGAUUCCACACUCCAAAAUGGGUCAGUGGUGGUUUUUGUAGCAAUGCGUAUUUCAGGUCUUGGGGAAGGAGAGACACACGUCAUUAGAGUUCCCAGAUCAGAAGA